AUUGAACGCUGGCGGCAGGCCUAACACAUGCAAGUCGAGCGGAGCGGCGGACGGGUGAGUAAUGCCUAGGAAUCUGCCUGGUAGUGGGGGUUACCGUCAGGAAACGGGAGCCAAUACCGCAUACUACCAGAGGACCCUAGGUCGGAUUAGCGAGUUGGUGAGGUAAAGGCCUACAAAGGCGACGCUCCGUAACUGGUCUGAGAGGAUGACCAGUCACACUGGAACUGAGACACGGUCCAGACUCCUACGGGAGGCAGUGGUGGGGAAGAUUGGACAAUGGGCGAAAGCCUGAUCCAGCCAUGCCGCGUGUGUGAAGAAGGUCUUCGGAUUGUAAAGCACUUUAAGUUGGGAGGCGGUACCAACAGAAUAAGCACCGGCUAACUUCGUGCCAGCAGCCGCGGUAAUAC
rnacentral:rRNA from 1 species